UACAGAGGUCCCAAGCGUUGUUCGGAUUCAUUGGGCGUAAAGGGUGCGUAGGCGGCGCGGUAAGUCGGGUGGGAAAUCUCGGAGCUUAACUCCGAAACUGCAUUCAAUACUGCCGUGCUUGAGGACUGGAGAGGAGACUGGAAUUUACGGUGUAGCGGUGAAAUGCGUAGAUAUCGUAAGGAAGACCAGUGGCGAAGGCGGGUCUCUGGACAGUUCCUGACGCUGAGGCACGAAGGCCAGGGGAGCAAACGGG
rnacentral:rRNA from 1 species